AAAACAUAAAGCUUAAUAGUACCUUACAUCAAAAUAAAACACAAUACUUAAAAAUUUACAUAACAUAAAACCUAAAAAUUUAAAACUAAAACAUAGGUCGAAAUAAUUCGUCACGCCGCUACGUGGUUAAAGUCCUUGUUGUAGUGGUGUUUGUAGUCAAUUAGUGCCACUGUAAUAACUUCCUCCUCAGAGAGCUCGUUGUGGGGAUUUGGCACAUUCAAGAACCUACCAUGGAAUCUUGAAAUCUUGUAACAGAUAAACGCGAAUGAUGAAUCUAUUGGAUCCACGGUUCGAUUGGCCUCACCAACAUGGGUUACAAAUUGGCAGUGCACCGGGUUCCAAAAAGUGGUCCGUCGAGUAGGAGAUGUGGGUUCGUGAUGGAUUGCUACAUAAGACAACGAUAACACGAUAUCUUCCUCUUCGGUCCACGAGAUUGCCAUAUUAAGUUUUGUGAAUAUGAAAGAUGGAAGUGGUAUAUGAAAAAAUAUAAAAAUGGAGAGUUUUGUGGGUUGGUUAGAUAGUAUGGGUGGUUAAAUAGAAGAAGGGUAAGUAUUUGAAUUUGAAUACUUUUUUUAAAUCAAAUGGUCAAAUACUAAAUUAAACGGUCAAAAAAAUCUCGAACAAAGCGAAUCUCAAGCGGGUUUAGGUGUUGGCCAAGCCAACCGCCACCCUAUCCGUGGUGGUGGCGGCGGUGUGCUGGCCCGGGUUGAAACCCGGGGAAGCCUACCCGCUUGGUACCCGACCCUCUCUAGCUGAUACUCGUUGUCUUCCUCUCUCUAGCUGUUCACACUCUCUUGUAGUACUAGAAUGAUAAUUAGAUUGAUGUAGAAUAGAAUAACUAUGUGAAAUUGAAUGAAUGAGAUUGUUGUGUGAUCAUAAACUCAUGGAACAUGCUUUAUAGACUUGUACCUUGUACCAUAUCCAUAAUGCCUACCAUGUGUUCGAUAAAAUGCCUAAAUGAGGAAUGUAUGUGUAUUUUGGAAAAAUGGUAGAAUGAAGCGAUAAACUAAACAAAGGAAUGAAUGUCGUGAUGUAGGCAUAAAGGAAGAAGGUACAAGCACCAAGAAACCGGAAGGCGCGCAAGAUCGAGGUAAAGCACCUCUUUAGGCGAUUUGGAGAUAUGGGACGAGCACAUGUUCAAGCCUUAUGAUACCAAGCGCUUCCGCAACUUAUAUGCAUGCUUUUGGGUCAUGUUUAUUACUUGUUAAACUUGUUGAAAUGUUUUAGGAUUGAAAACUUGUUGUUUUUGUUGGGAUGGUUUUAUGUUAAAUAGGUCGUAGUGUAAACGUUGUAAGUUAUGUCAAAACAGGGGGUAUGCUCGUUUUACAAACGGGUCAUGCCCAAAUUUUGUAAAAAUUUUCUAUUAAGUGUCAAAAUUGUAUUUCAAUGUCCGAAAGAUCUUGCUUA